rnacentral:rRNA from 1 species
UACGUAGGGGGCAAGCGUUGUUCGGAUUCAUUGGGCGUAAAGGGUGCGUAGGCGGCGCGGUAAGUCGGGUGUGAAAUCUCGGAGCUUAACUCCGAAACUGCAUUCGAUACUGCCGUGCUUGAGGACUGGAGAGGAGACUGGAAUUUACGGUGUAGCGGUGAAAUGCGCAGAUAUCAGGAGGAACACCGGUGGCGAAGGCGGCUUGCUGGGCCAGUUCUGACGCUGAGGAGCGAAAGCGUGGGGAGCGAACAGG